rnacentral:rRNA from 1 species
GUGGGGAAUAUUGGACAAUGGGCGAAAGCCUGAUCCAGCAAUGCCGCGUGAGUGAUGAAGGCCCUAGGGUUGUAAAGCUCUUUUACCCGGGAUGAUAAUGACAGUACCGGGAGAAUAAGCUCCGGCUAACUCCGUGCCAGCAGCCGCGGUAAUACGGAGGGAGCUAGCGUUGUUCGGAAUUACUGGGCGUAAAGCGGGCGUAGGCGGUUUUGCAAGUCAGGGGUGAAAGCCCGGGGCUCAACCCCGGAAUAGGCCUUGAAACUGGAAGACUAGAAGCGUGGAGAGGUCAGUGGAAUUCCGAGUGUAGAGGUGAAAUUCGUAGAUAUUCGGAAGAACACCAGUGGCGAAGGCGACUGACUGGACAAGUAUUGACGCUGAGGUGCGAAAGCGUGGGGAGCAAACAGGAUUAGAUACCCGGGUAGUCC